UAGAGUUUGAUCAUGGCUCAGGACGAACGCUGGCGGCAUGCCUAAUACAUGCAAGUCGAACGCUGAAACACUCUGCUUGCAGAGUGCGGAUGAGUGGCGAACGGGUGAGUAACACGUGGGUGAUCUGCCCUGCACUGUGGGAUAAGCCUGGGAAACUGGGUCUAAUACCAUAUAUGACCGCAUUUUGGAUGGUGUGGUGGAAAGCUUUUGCGGUGUGGGAUGAGCCUGCGGCCUAUCAGCUUGUUGGUGGGGUAAUGGCCUACCAAGGCGGCGACGGGUAUCCGGCCUGAGAGGGUGUACGGACACAUUGGGACUGAGAUACGGCCCAGACUCCUACGGGAGGCAGCAGUGGGGAAUAUUGCACAAUGGGCGCAAGCCUGAUGCAGCGACGCCGCGUGGGGGAUGAAGGCCUUCGGGUUGUAAACUCCUUUCGCUAUCGACGAAGCCACUUGUGGUGACGGUAGGUAGAUAAGAAGCACCGGCUAACUACGU
rnacentral:rRNA from 1 species